CGCUGCUCUGCAAACCGGUUCCCACAGCAACUGGAAACGGAAACUCACAUUUCCUGCCCUAUAAGAGAAGAAGAGAGGGACAGAGGGAUGGAGGAGGAAGGGAAUAGAGGAAGAUCCUCUGCAGAUGGAGAGGUAAACAGGACGUUUGCUUCCCUCGGGGCCGAUGGGAAGACGAGGCGCCUCACUCAGCGGCGGCCCCUUUCCGUACCUGCGUCCACGGAGCUGCGCCCUGUUCAGGGACGGAAGUUUAGCAGCGGAAUUGCAGGUUUGAAGUCGCUAUGCCUGUAUUUUACUAGUGCUGAUUUUUCAAGAGAAGAGAGAAGAGGUAUCGUGUCCUUUCCGCGCGGCCACCCCGUGCUGUGCGUCCCCCUCCCAGGAUUACCGCUUUCUUACCUACAGCACUACUAAAUUCAGCCGCAAAUAAGUGGAAGACAAAACCUUACGUGUUUCUUGCCUACUUGCUCAGUCAGCUUUUUUACAAAGACCCCCCAAAAGCCUCGAGGCUUUCAGCACGUCCAGGUGCCAGAUUAGCAAGUGCUCGGUGCCUCUGUGCUCUGCAAACGCAGCCUGUAAUUCCCCCUCCAAAAAGCCUUCAAAAUUAGAAGCAAGUAUAAACCCUCUGAAUUAUGAGGAAUCUAGUGGUUUAUAGUGGUUUAUAGGAUUUUCUCCAGCUUGGCCGCUGCACACCUGCCCUUGGAGCAAGGAGCCGGACCAGCUUCGCGCAGCCGACGCGUGAGGAACCUGAUGCUUUCUUCUGCGGCCACCUGCGAGGUAUUUGGCCAUAAAAGCUGCCACAGCAAGACCAGGAGGAAAACAAGGGGAACGAGAGCAGCCAAGAGCGUUGCAAGCAUUUCCCAGGAAAGCCAGAAUUCCUCCCGCCGCAGGGCGGCAGAGCGACACCUAGCCAGCGAGCUCGGAGAAACGCAAGGCUCAGCUCAGCUCGCCAGGCAGCACUACCUAACCACAGCAUAUAAUCAGCAAUAUAUAAUUACCAAGCAGAUUCAUUGCAGUGUAUUCUGAGACCGGCCCCUCUCCUCUUAGCAAAACUUAACUAGUGGUCCUUGAGGCUGCGAUGGUGGCUGGCACGUAAAGCCAUGCUGAACAAUAUUUUUCAAUAAAAAUUGGGGUUUUCCAUGGUCA
rnacentral:lncRNA from 1 species